AAGCCUGAUGCAGCCAUGCCGCGUGUAUGAAGAAGGACCUUCGGGUUGUAAAGUACUUUCAGCAGUGAGGAAGGUGGAUAUGUUAAUAGCAUAUUCAUUUGACGUUAGCUGCAGAAGAAGCACCGGCUAACUCCGUGCCAGCAGCCGCGGUAAUACGGAGGGUGCGAGCGUUAAUCGGAAUUACUGGGCGUAAAGCGCAUGCAGGUGGUUUGUUAAGUCAGAUGUGAAAGCCCGGGGCUCAACCUCGGAAUUGCAUUUGAAACUGGCAAACUAGAGUACUGUAGAGGGGGUAGAAUUUCAGGUGUAGCGGUGAAAUGCGUAGAGAUCUGAAGGAAUACCGGUGGCGAAGGCGGCCCCCUCGGACAGAUACUGACACUCAGAUGCGAAAGCGUGGGGAGCAAACAGGAUUAGAUACCCUGGUAG
rnacentral:rRNA from 1 species